rnacentral:rRNA from 1 species
AGUGAACGCUGGCGGUAGGCCUAACACAUGCAAGUCGAACGGCAGCACAGUAAGAGCUUGCUCUUACGGGUGGCGAGUGGCGGACGGGUGAGGAAUACAUCGGAAUCUACUUUUUCGUGGGGGAUAACGUAGGGAAACUUACGCUAAUACCGCAUACGACCUACGGGUGAAAGCAGGGGAUCUUCGGACCUUGCGCGAUUGAAUGAGCCGAUGUCGGAUUAGCUAGUUGGCGGGGUAAAGGCCCACCAAGGCGACAAUCCGUAGCUGGUCUGAGAGGAUGAUCAGCCACACUGGAACUGAGACACGGUCCAGACUCCUACGGGAGGCAGCAGUGGGGAAUGUUGGACAAUGGGCGCAAGCCUGAUCCAGCCAUACCGCGUGGGUGAAGAAGGCCUUCGGGUUGUAAAGCCCUUUUGUUGGGAAAGAAAAGCAGCAGGUUAAUACCCCGCUGUUCUGACGGUACCCAAAGAAUAAGCACCGGCUAACUUCGUG